rnacentral:rRNA from 1 species
GACGAACGCUGGCGGCGUGCUUAACACGUGCAAGUCGAGCGGUAAGGCCCUUUCGGGGGUACGACGAGCGGCGAACGGGUGAGUAACACGUGGGUGACCUGCCCUCAGCUCUGGGAUAAGCCUGGGAAACCGGGUCUAAUACUGGAUAUGACUCCAUGACGCAUGUUGUGGGGUGGAAAGCCUUGUGCGGCUGAGGAUGGGCCCGCGGCCUAUCAGCUUGUUGGUGGGGUGAUGGCCUACCAAGGCGACGACGGGUAGCCGGCCUGAGAGGGCGACCGGCCACACUGGGACUGAGACACGGCCCAGACUCCUACGGGAGGCAGCAGUGGGGAAUCUUGCGCAAUGGGCGAAAGCCUGACGCAGCGACGCCGCGUGAGGGAUGACGGCCUGG